CGCUCCCAGAGUGCCUCGCGCGGCGGGCCCGGAUCUUCGCCACCGCCGUCAUUUGUGGGCGGAGAAAGGGCUGGAGAAAGGCGGGAAUCGCCCCUAGUCCUUCGCCGUGCGUUUCCCUGGACUUAAGGGCCGAAGGGACACCGGCGACUUGACCUCCUGGUAUUGGCCUGCACCGUCACCUGCAGAGGCUUUUCGCCUCAGUUCCUUCACAGCACCCUCCCCCCGCCACCCCACCAAACAGAGGGAGACAUCUGACCAUGGACACAGUAUUGCUGCUUGCCAGUAUUCUAUUGCAGGGAGAGGCUCCUCCGUGCUCCUGAGAGGCCGAACACAGGGUCCCCAGCACAGCUUACUGCUCGGUGUCUCCUGAGCCACGGAGGAAGACAUGUGGCAGGAGCACCUGGUGCUAAUAUAUAUUCAUGUCUAUGGCAAUGCCGACCAUCUGGCUGGUCUGAACCAGGAUAAAAGUGAAGACUUCCUCUGUGAAGACCCAGCUCUUUCUUCGGCUCCUUUUUUGAAGCCAUCUUUGCUCUGCUGUCCUCUGCUGCCCAGCCCCAGAGCGAUACUGUUUUUUUGAGGUUGCCCCAAAGAGUUGUCAAAAAGCUGUUUUUCCCUGCAGAGGGCAGUGUGCCUCUAUAAAAUACACCCAGUCCCCAGCAGCAUUUGAGCGUGGAGAACAAAGCCAUCUAGAACACAUGCCAGGAAGCCUCCUUGAAAUUAUCACCAAAUUUCGAAUUCUCCAAAAAGAAUUUCAAAUAACAAAAACAAUGAUUGAGAACUCAACAAUUUCACACAAAAAAUAUUAAAGCCCCAGACCAGGCACAAAGCUGAAGAAAUUAAAAGUAAACUUAAGACUUGAAUCCCAAGGUUGCUGAGCUACCAAGUCAGUUGAAUUUACAGCCAGGUGUGAAAGUGUAUUGAUUGAGAGAGGAGAACCUCAGAACUGGGGUAGAGAUAUGGGGAAGGAACAGAGAAUGAUAAGAUCCCAGCCUCGUGAGUCUCAUUUGUUGGCUGGAGCAGCCUUCUUGCCUUGAUAGAGAGAGGAGAACCUCAGAACUGGGGUAGAGAUAUGGGGAAGGAACAGAGUGUGAUGAGAUCCCAGCCUUGUGAGUCUCAUUUGUUGGCUGGAGCAGCCUUCUUGCCUGUCUUACUCGAAAACCAGAAUGACCCCCUUUGCAAAGGGAAUUCCAUCCUCCUUAUGGCCCAUUCUCAACAUCAUGCACCAUCC